rnacentral:rRNA from 1 species
UACGGAGGGAGCUAGCGUUGUUCGGAACUACUGGGCGUAAAGCGCACGUAGGCGGCGCAGCAAGUCAGGGGUGAAAUCCCGGGGCUCAACCCCGGAACUGCCCUUGAAACUGCAGUGCUAGAAUUCUGGAGAGGCGAGUGGAAUUCCGAGUGUAGAGGUGAAAUUCGUAGAUAUGUGGAGGAAUACCGAUGGCGAAGGCAGCCCCCUGGGAUGACACUGACGCUCAUGCACGAAAGCGUGGGGAGCAAACAGG